GCGUAGGGUACGUAGGCGGAUAGUUCGAAAUAGAGUAAAAGACUGAGGAUGACCCUCUUUAAUCUGUAUUGACCGACCAUCUGAGUUCUAGGGGCGAUAUAUUGAAUUCCUUAAGUAAGGGUUAAAUUGUUGAUAUUGGAAGACAUUCGAAGGCGGAAGCGAUAAUCGAUCUGGAUCUGACGCUAGGUACUAAAGUAUGGGUAUGAAAAGGAUUAGAGACCUUGUAGUCCAUACCUUAAACAAUGAGUGUUCAACGUCCUUAAGUACUUCAAUGACACACCUAAACUAUAUUUUUUUAGGAGGAUUUGAAUUGAGCUAAAGGGGGUUUAAAGCUAACGCGUGAAACACCGCCUGGGGAAUGUGGCCGCAAGGUUAAACUCAAAGGAAUUGACGGAGGCUUGUACAAGG
rnacentral:rRNA from 1 species